rnacentral:rRNA from 1 species
UACGUAGGGGGCAAGCGUUGUCCGGAAUCAUUGGGCGUAAAGAGCGUGUCGGCGGCCCGGUAAGUCCGCUGUGAAAGUCCAGGGCUCAACCCUGGGAUGCCGGUGGAUACUGUCGGGCUCGAGUCCGGAAGAGGAGUGUGGAAUUCCUGGUGUAGCGGUGAAAUGCGCAGAUAUCAGGAGGAACACCAAUGGCGAAGGCAGCACUCUGGGACGUGACUGACGCUGAGGUGCGAAAGCGUGGGGAGCAAACAGG